rnacentral:rRNA from 1 species
AUGAACGCUAGCUACAGGCUUAACACAUGCAAGUCGAGGGGCAGCAUGAACAUAGCUUGCUAUGUUUGAUGGCGACCGGCGCACGGGUGCGUAACACGUAUCCAAUCUGCCCGUCACUCGGGGGAUAGCCUUCUGAAAAGGAAGAUUAAUACCCGAUGGCAUGCAUUUCCGGCAUCGGAGAUGCAUUAAAGAUUUAUCGGUGACGGAUGAGGAUGCGUACGAUUAGCUUGUUGGCGGGUAACGGCCCACCAAGGCAACGAUCGUUAGGGGUUCUGAGAGGAAGGUCCCCCACACUGGAACUGAGACACGGUCCAGACUCCUACGGGAGGCAGCAGUGAGGAAUAUUGGUCAAUGGGCGAGAGCCUGAACCAGCCAAGUAGCGUGAAGGAUGACUGCCCUACGGGUUGUAAACUUCUUUUGUUUGGGAAUAAAAGACGCUACGUGUAGCGUUGUGCAUGUACCUUACGAAUAAGCAUCGGCUAAUUCCGUG